UUUUGCCUACGGGGGGCAGCAGUGGGGAAUAUUGCACAAUGGGGGAAACCCUGAUGCAGCGACGCCGCGUGAAGGAAGAAGUAUUUCGGUAUGUAAACUUCUAUCAGCAGGGAAGAAAAUGACGGUACCUGACUAAGAAGCCCCGGCUAACUACGUGCCAGCAGCCGCGGUAAUACGUAGGGGGCAAGCGUUAUCCGGAUUUACUGGGUGUAAAGGGAGCGUAGGCGGUAAUGCAAGUCAGAAGUGAAAGCCCGGGGCUCAACUCCGGGACUGCUUUUGAAACUGUGUUGCUAGAUUGCAGGAGG
rnacentral:rRNA from 1 species